rnacentral:piRNA from 1 species
UAAAUGCACUUUUCAUUCAUCCAGA